AUGCAUUCCAGCACCCGUCACCUCGGAGGCGGCAGGACGUGGGCUCUGGACCCGGCUCUGCGGCAGCCGCUGCCCGGAACACCCUGUCGUCCCCCACAAGCCUCCCUGUCCCGCGCUCCCGAUUCCCCUUUCAGGAAUUUACAAACAUUUUCCGCAGAUCAAUAUCUGUAUUGAUUAUUCAUUGUGUGCGAGUCGUGUGUCUUUGGUGAUCCAACCUGGCAGAGUGAGCAGCCAAAGGCUGCUGCAGUUGCACACAAAAAAAUCCACAGAAGGCGAGAGGGACCCAGACCUCGCCGGGCUUACCGCUGCCAGCCACGGAGACGGAUGGAGAGGAAGGAAGAAAGAAAAUGGGGAAGUCGGAAGGAGGAAUGAGGGAACGAGGGAGCCAAGGAGAGAAAGCAAGAGCAGGAAAACAAAGUCACCGCUGGAGAACUGGUGCCGGGGCAUGCUGGCAGCCUGGAGAAAUUUCCAGCCUUGUGCUCGCCGUUCUGCACGCAGAUGUGGUGGACUUAAUGCUCUGGGAGCAAAAAGUGACUCACAGUUUUGGUAUCUGCUACGUAAGAGCAUUGGGGGGAUUCCUUGGCUGGCUGACAGAAAAGGAAGAAAGCAGCAGCAGAGGUACAAAACGAUUCCUUCCUCCUGCCUUCCUGGGAAUGCGGCUCAUCCGGGCUGGCUGGAGCAGCUCCCUGCUCUCUUAUGAUAUGCAAAAGGAGAAUAAUUAAAAGCGCCAGCAUCACUCGCAAAGUGAGUAAACACAAAGCCUUUCAAAACAUGCUCUUCAGCUAAUGAGAAGCUGUAAUUUCUUAUACUUAAAGGCAAAAAAGACACUGAUGAGACUCAGUGGAGUGUGUGUGCAUGCGCGCCUGCCUGUGUGUGCAUGUGUUUGUAGAUACGAGAGAAUCGGUUAAUUGUUGAUGAUGUUUAGAAAAGGGAUUAUGAGAAAAGACACUGAAAUGAUGACAGGAAACAUCUUGGAUCAGAGCCAAAGAAAUAAAAUAAUCAAGGACAAUCAAGCCUGCGGCUCCGGAAAGCGCCGACUGCUCUGCCGGGGACUUGGAAGGAAUUUCCCCGUGCUGCUGAGCUGCAGCUGGAAUACGUGCUUGGCACCAGGAGGGAGAACUGCAAGAAGCAGUUUGCUUAGAGCAUGAAACAACAGAAGGCAGAACUAUGGAGCUGUGCUAUAAUUCAGAGGUUAAACAGCUUUGUCUGCUUCUAUCUCGGACGGAGUCUCAUUUUUACCCACAUCUGACCUGGUCUCUGAAAAUGCAACUUCUGAAGCCCUCUGAAUGCAAGCAGAAGCUGACGAUUCUCCAUAUGCCUUUCCAGAACUGCUGUGACAUUACAAAAACAAAGAAAAGGGAGCUUGAGGAAUUAAGUUCUCUUGUGGCUGCAGGAUCUGCUGGACCUUACCAUGUGAACUGACUCUGGAAACAAUUCCUUCCUUAAUUCUGGAAAUUGGAAACCACUUACGCCAGGUGGGGGAUUGCAACUCCCUGCCUCCAAGCUCACAGGAAAAGCAACAAUCAUCUGCAAUAACAGGAGCAAGCUUUACUUCUCACCUGGGCAUAUGAUAGCUGCCCUAAACGAAUGGAUUGUAAUGUUUUCUUUCUCUUGGGCUGAGGUUGGGUGGGGAGAGAGGACACAGGGAAUUUUAAGCCUCCUGGUGACUGUUACAUUGUAUGUGAGCUACAAAAAUGCCAUCCCUUUGCUCUGGAUGAUAAACUUCAUCUUGCUUUGUUAUUACUGAAUUCUGGUGCAUUACGUUCUGGGCUUCUCCAGCAACAGAAACACAGGGUCUAUUAAAGUGGGAAUCUUUGGGGACAAGGAGGCAGAGAAAUGAGCCAAUCAUACAUGACUUUUCCACAUUUCCUAUUUUUCAGCAUCUGCAGGAAGCUUUUCGGAUGACUCCAGAUGUUCAUGAACAAGAAUGAAAGGCAGAGAUGCAAAACCUACAAUGAAAACAAAUGAUACGUUUAAACGGUGUUCAGGCUGAAAGGUGGGGUCUUGAGGUGCUGGGGCCAGAAGAGACGAAAAUCCUGCAGGCUGCACAACGCCCAGAAACACACAGCGUCCCCUCCAGUGCCAGGGCUCACGUGAGAGCGCUCCGUGCCGGCGGUCUGCGUCAGGAUGCUGCAGCGUUGGCUGUGCAGAGACUCAAAGAGAUGCCAGUAAUUGGCCAGAAGAGAAGCCUUAAUUGUCCCUGCUCUGGCUGCUGUUAAUGUUAUAAUUACUACUAUCACUACUAAUGAACUUUAAUUAGAAAAAAGCCGCAGUGCCUGCAAGCACCAACUUCUAAAAUCCUUUGAGUCCCCAUCCAGCAUCCUUUGCCCCUGUGAGCAGGGCUGGCUGUGAUGUGGGGCUGUGGGUGUGGGGUGGGGCAGUGGGUGCUCACACGGCUUCCUCUGGCAUGGCGCUGGUUACACAAACAGCUGUACAGAUGUUGAGCUGUCACACGGUUCAGGAGAAUAAAGCAAUUUAACCCAAGCAUGGCCUUUUUAUCAGCAUCUAUCAAACAAGGGAAGUUUUGAAAUAA